rnacentral:rRNA from 1 species
UACGUAGGCAGCGAGCGUUGUUCGGAGUUACUGGGCGUAAAGCGUGCGUAGGCGGUGGUCCAAGUCUGGUGUGAAAUCUCCCGGCUCAACUGGGAGGGUGCGCCGGAAACUGGGCCGCUGGAGUAUGGGAGAGGCAAGCGGAAUUCCAGGUGUAGCGGUGAAAUGCGCAGAUAUCUGGAGGAACACCCGUGGUGCAGACGGCUUGCUGGACCAUGACUGACGCUGAGGCACGAAAGCGUGGGUAGCAAACAGG